rnacentral:rRNA from 1 species
UACGUAGGGGGCAAGCGUUGUCCGGAAUCAUUGGGCGUAAAGCGCGCGUAGGCGGCCCGGUAAGUCCGCUCUGAAAGUCCGGGGCUCAACCCUGGAAAGCGGGUGGAUACUGCCGGGCUAGAAUCCGGAAGAGGCGAGUGGAAUUCCUGGUGUAGCGGUGGAAUGCGCAGAUAUCAGGAGGAACACCAAUAGCGAAGGCAGCUCGCUGGGACGGUAUUGACGCUAAGGCGCGAAAGCGUGGGGAGCAAACAGG